rnacentral:tRNA from 1 species
GCGGGCGUGGUCUAGUGGUAAGAUGCGACCUUCCCAAGGUCGAGAUCGGGGGUUCGAAUCCCCUCGCCCGCUCUA